rnacentral:rRNA from 1 species
CCUACGGGCGGCUGCAGUGGGGAAUACUGCACAAUGGGCGCAAGCCUGAUGCAGCCAUGCCGCGUGUGUGAAGAAGGCCUUCGGGUUGUAAAGCACUUUCAGCGGGGAGGAAGGCGGUGAGGUUAAUAACCUCAUCGAUUGACGUUACCCGCAGAAGAAGCACCGGCUAACUCCGUGCCAGCAGCCGCGGUAAUACGGAGGGUGUAAGCGUUAAUCGGAAUUACUGGGCGUAAAGCGCACGCAGGCGGUCUGUCAAGUCGGAUGUGAAAUCCCCGGGCUCAACCUGGGAACUGCAUUCGAAACUGGCAGGCUAGAGUCUUGUAGAGGGGGGUAGAAUUCCAGGUGUAGCGGUGAAAUGCGUAGAGAUCUGGAGGAAUACCGGUGGCGAAGGCGGCCCCCUGGACAAAGACUGACGCUCAGGUGCGAAAGCGUGGGGAGCAAACAGGAUUAGAUACCCUAGUAGUC